GUUACCUUCGGGUAAUGAGGAUGGCGGACGGGUGAGUAACGCGUAAGGAACUUGCCUCUUGGACUGGGACAACUGUUGGAAACGACAGCUAAUACCGGAUAUUAUGAGAUUCUCGCAUGAGAAACUUAUGAAAGCUAUAUGCGCCAAGAGAGAGCCUUGCGUUCCAUUAGCUAGUUGGUGGGGUAACGGCCCACCAAGGCGACGAUGGAUAGCCGGCCUGAGAGGGUGAACGGCCACAAGGGGACUGAGACACGGCCCUUACUCCUACGGGAGGCAGCAGUGGGGAAUAUUGGACAAUGGGCCACAAGCCUGAUCCAGCAAUUCUGUGUGCACGAUGAAGGUCUUCGGAUUGUAAAGUGCUUUCAGUUGGGAAGAAGAAAGUGACGGUACCAACAGAAGAAGCGACGGCUAAAUACGUGCCAGCAGCCGCGGUAAUACGUAUGUCGCAAGCGUUAUCCGGAUUUAUUGGGCGUAAAGCGCGUCUAGGCGGAAAAAUAAGUCUGAUGUUAAAAUGCGGGGCUCAACUCCGUAUUGCGUUGGAAACUGUUUUUCUAGAGUACUGGAGAGGUGGGCGGAACUACAAGUGUAGAGGUGAAAUUCGUAGAUAUUUGUAGGAAUGCCGAUGGAGAAGUCAGCUCACUGGACAGAUACUGACGCUGAAGCGCGAAAGCGUGGGGAGCAAACAGGAUUAGAUACCCUG
rnacentral:rRNA from 1 species